rnacentral:lncRNA from 1 species
AAAAUCCUUUGAUUUUUUUCAAAGUAUGCUUCACUCUGAAUUCAGACUCUUGCUCCAUCAGUUCUUCCUCUGGAGAUGGAUAACAUUUUCCAUCAUGAAUUUUUUGGAAUUGUUUUGGAUCGUUAUAUUGCUGAGAGUAGCUAAACUAUUCCCAGCUGAUCAUCACACAAUCUUGCUGUACGAAGUUCUCCUAUUUCUCUGCUCAAUUCACUGUGCAUCAGUUCACAUAGGUCUUCCCAGAUUUUUCUGAAGGUAUCCUGCUCAUCAUUUCUCAUGGCACGGUAAUAGUCCAUCACAAUCGUAUGCCACAGCUUGUUCAGCCAUUCCCCAGUCACUGGGAGGUCUCUUGAUUUUCAAUUCUUUUGACACCAUAAAGAGAGUUGCUAUGAGCUUUUUUAUACUUUGCUCAAAUCUUCGCGGCUCAUUGUUUAGGUUUUCAUGGCCUAAAAAGAGUAUAAAUAGCUUUCUGAGGGUCUUCCCCUCCCAUAUUGAUAUUGUUGGGAUGGCAAAUUAGGCCUUCUUUUGUCUCACUGCUUAUCCAGUCCUUAACCAUUGAGUAGAAGUAGCCUCAGACAAACUAUGAUGUGAGAAGACUUGAUUUAGAAAGGCCACGAUCAUCCACCAUAGUUCUGGCUAUCUCCAGUGUCUUGAUUUUUGUUUUAUCACUGGACUUCAAAGACUGGAGGAGUCAGCCUGAGGACUACUGCUCAAUCUCACUUCAAUCCAAUUCACACACAAGUUCAGACAUCACCCUGGUAAUAUCCUUUGGUUUUUUUCCCCGGAAUGAACAAACAACUGCAACAUUUUAUUUAAAACUUUUCGCAACAAUAUCCAUUAGGAAAAUUGCUCUGUAGUUUUCUCUCUGUAUUUUCCCCCUUCCUGGUUUAGAAAUAAGUAACAUUUGUAUCUUAGACUCCUUUGCCUAUUUUUCCAGACAGUUUAGAAAUCAGUAACAUAUUUGUAUCUUAGACUCCUUUGCCUAUUUUUCCAGACAGUUUAUAGCGUAGUAGGAUUGUUCUUUAAGUGUUUAGUAGAAUUUGCUUGUGAAUCCAUCUGGUCCUGGGUAUUUUUUCUUAAAGAGCUCAUUUAUGGCUUGUUCUAUUUCUUUCUCUAAGAUAGGAUUAUUUAGGUAUUUUCUCUUCUUUUUCUAUUUUUUUUCUAUUUCCUCUUCUGUCAAUCUGGGCAACUUAAGUUUUCGUAAAUAUUCAUCUACUUAGAUUGUCAGAUUUCUUGACAAAAUCUUUUGAACAGAAUAUCCCUGAUGAUUGCUUUAAUUUUACCUUCAUUGGUGGUGAAUUCAUCCGUUUCCUUUUUAUUACUAGUAACUUGGGUUUUUUCUUUCUUUUUUUAAAAUUAACUAAUGAUUUGUCUAUUUUAUUGGGGAACUUUCCCAUAAAACCAACUUCUAGUUUUCUUAAUUAGUUCAGUGGAUUGUUUUGUUUUGUUUUCAAAUUUAUUAAUCUUGAUAUGAUCGUAAUCACCAGGCUACCUGGUCCAGUAAAUAAUCGCCUUAGGAAUACAGGCCUUGGGAAUGAUAUAGUCUAGGUUCCAAGUUAUCCGAUUUAAGAAUACUGUAUUUGCCUUUAGAUAAUUUUGUCUUAGUUUACAUUUUAUUACCAGCUAUAUCGGGGUGCCUGGAGUGAGAUGCCUAGGCUAACCACUCCCCAACUUUACCUCUAAGAUCAGCGACAUAAAGCACCUGGUUUACUUUUCCUAUAAAAGUCCCUCCUUAUCCCCCCAUUUCUUUGCUAAUUCCCUCUUGGAGCUUAUUCUACCAUCAGUGGUGUUACAAUCUUUGCCUCUUAAUUUGGAGGUGAUUCUUUUGAGUUAUCUCAUGACACCGGCCCAGCACUCCGAUAUUGUGGAGUGCUCCUGCACCCCAACAUUUGGUGGCCCAUAAGGGGAAAAGUCUAGCUUUCUUUGCCUCCUCCACUUUUUCUUUUCCUCCUUCUAUCCUAUAGCUAGGACUAGCAUCCAAGAAGACUUAUUGAGGUCAUCAGUAAGUUUUAUGCUCAGCAUGCUUUCCUUGGUUAGGGAUACCUGAUCUUAGGGGUACUUUUGGUUUGGGCACAUUUGCCACUGUUCACCUUCCCUGGGAAACCAAGGGAGAUGAGUUGCUAUAGGAAUAGAAACUCUUUAGGGCUUGUGGCAAAAAUGGGACAGUCCAUUCCCAUCCCUAAAAAAGCAGAGACAAAUUUGGCCUAUACGAUCUCAAAAAGACAAGGCUCAUUUUCUUUUGUAACACUGCCUGGCCUCAGUCUACCCUGGAGGAUCGGGAGAAAAUGGCCUGUCAAAAGGUUUCUCAUGUUUUUCUUUUUAAAUUGGUAUUUUAAUUGAAUGUUUUGUUGUUCUGUCUACGUCUGUGUCUCUGUGUUUGCAGAGGUCUUUGUCAUGUUUGUGCUGUGAGAUAGAUUCUGUUACCUUGAAAGAUUUCAAAUGAAGCCAAUGAAAGGGAGAAAAAACUUCUAAGGGCUACACUUAGAACACUGGGAAAAAUUUAUUAACCUUACUAACUUCUCCCAAAAAAGAAAAAGUCUUCUGUGGUCCCAACAGUAGCAAAGUUGAGGCGACAGAAAUAAAGCUCUAUAAUUAAAGUUGGAGGGCCGUACAUCUUAGCAAAUAUUGGAGGUUUUGCGAUUAAGGAAACUGACAAUUAGAAACUUUAAGAUUACGGGAAAGAAUUCCUUUGACUAUGGGAUGAUUCCAGGAAUUCACCUCCUUCUGAAACAUCUUAAUAAAAUUUGAGGUACCGUUCUGUACCAUUUUUCUUAAGGAAAAAUAAGGAUUAGAUCUUGCAAAAGUUGAAAAAGAUUUGAAAAGAAACUGACCAAAUUAAAAUCAUUACAGCCCAUGUCCCUCUCUUAAACCCUCUCAUCUCUUACUCGAUUAGGAAAAGAGAAUGCUGGAGAAUUGGAGAGAAACUUAAAUUAUGCCUCACCUGGUAGAAACGAGGGAGGCAGUAACCACAACAGGGCCUCACGCUUCCUGCCCUAGUAGCUCCCCAACUCCAGCACCUGCAACUGGGCAGGAAGUCGGGUCGGAUCUCACGGUCAGCAUUCUCUGAUCCCCGACACCUGGAACUACCGCCAAAGGGAGAUUCUGGCACCGCCCACCGCAGCCCUCAGCAGGUUCCACCCAGCUGCUGUUUGGGAGAAUCCAGGUAUUCCUGGCAGCACCUAGUGUGUGUGUGAGGUGGGGGAGCCAGCCAGUCUGUCCUUGGUAAGGCCAUCCCUCCAUGUUGCAGUGAUUUAUUAGCUAUGUUAUCUCUUAUUUGCCCUAGUACGAAAUCAGGAUUUGAAAAAAGAAACAGAACAAAAAGGAGGGCAAAUAUGGUUUUAAUUUUGAAAGAAAUUUUUUAAAAAGUAUUAAGUAGUGAAUCAUGUCUUCUGUAAUCUAAUAAUGGGGUUUCUGCGUAGCUGGAAGUCCAGCUACUGUUCCAGCAGGAACAUAAGUCACUUUGUUCUGUAAGGGGAUAAUAACUGAACCCCACGUCCCAGGGUUUUUGUGAGGUUCACAUGACUGUAAAGUGCUUGCCCGUGCAAGUGCUCUAUGAAUGUUAACUGUUUUCAUUAUGUCUUUUAUUUGAUGUGAUUGCUUCAUACUUGAUAACUUUAUGUGGGUUUUUAGAUGUGACCAACAUAUAUUACCAGUGUUGAGAUAAAUGAUUUUCUGUGUGAGGUAAUUUGGAAGUACAUUCAAGUAAAUGAAGGUUGGUGAUUAAUGGAAUCCCAACCUGGGUUCCCGAGGCAUAGGAAGAGAUAGGGCAUAGAGGAAAGAGAGUCUCUUUCUCCUUCUCCUCCUCUCUCCCCCUCUGACUGCAGCAGGGGCUGGUGGACAGGAAAGAGAAAGAAAAUCAAGAGGCAGAUUUAGGGGGCUAUCGGUGAAAAUUCCAGGGUGAAGACCUCUCUCUGAAAUAAGAACUGAUACUUAAGCCCUUUCCUGGCUCACAAAAAAAAAAGAGAGAGAGAGAGAGAGAAAAUGCCUGUGUGAAUUGGCAAACGGCCAAAAGGUGUGAUCAGAACAUUUAGCUAUAAUUUAGGGAUCUUACAAAUUAAAGUACUGGUCAAUUUUAAAAUAAUUUUUUACAUUAGUAUGUGUGUUAAAAGUCAAAACUUGAUUGUAAAUGAUAAGAUCCCUCCCCAGUUUUGUCAUAGAUUACAAUUUAUCUGAAUUUUAAGAAUCAUUUUGUUUUCUUCCUUAAAAAAAAAAAAAAGGAAAACAAUUAAGGGAACAGGAGAGGGAAGCCCAAUCCCUCCUGAGAACUUCCAAAGUUACAAUAGCUUGGGAAAAAGAAGAAAGCCCCCCAAUUGAAUCUUUGAGAUUGUAGAACCCAGAUUUGACUCGUCACCCAGCAACUUGAAUGUUACGAAUUGUAUAAUUAAAUGAAAGUGGAAAAUUUGUUUAAAACCUGUUGUGUUAUUUUGUCAACCCUGUUAAUCUGUUUUGUAAAUGCAAUUUAGGAAAUUGGAUAGUUUCACCUUUGCUUGUAAGUUUAGAGUAAGUUACUGCUAAGACAAUAUAUUUAUCACUUAAGAAAAUUAUAAGAUUGUUAAUUAAGUUACUUGGAUUUGUUGUAAUAAUGUAAAAUCUAAUAUUGGUGAUUGCUUCUCAUUCAAAGCACUUCAACUUGGGGUACAAAAGUCUACUGAAGAAUUAGUCUAACCUCCACACCCCCUCACAGGGUAAGGGAAGUGUCAAAGAGCACAAGCCAUAGCAGCUGUCAUGGGUGUGCAAGAACAGCAGGUUCAGACCCCUUCUCUGGGUUCCCUGUUGAUUUUCCUUAAUUUAUAAACUUGCAGAUUUCUUUAAAGCAUCAUGUGAGUGAGGGUCAUCAACCCUGAGAAAUGAGAUAGUUAAGGUUAUGGGGUUCCUAAACAGUGAGCUUGGCUUGAUAUAAAGAUUUGCAAAUGUCUUUGUUUUAUGGAAGAGAUUUCUAAUGAUUGGUCUUCACCAGGAUUAGUUUAAACUCUAGGAGAAGAAGAAAAGAAAAAUAAAGAUGUUAAGUGAAAUCUCUUAUGUGUGUGAGACCUGGUAAACUUUGUUAUAGUGCUAAGGCUAAUUUAAUCAGUUGUAUUGCGUCACCAUAAAGAUGUUCUUAUUGUUUAAAGGGAUUCUGGGAGUAGUAGUGUAUGUUUAUGUUCCUUUGAACAUAGUUAAUAAGUAAACAUUUGGAGUUUUUUUUUUUUUUAAGACGAUUUAUAAUUUUUACAUUUCUAUAUCCCAAGUCUGGUUGUUAUUGAGUAUCAUUUGUAUAAUGUUGAAUUUAAAAUCAUUUACUUAGCUUCAAGAUAAGUUGUGAAUUUUCUGGGAUGAAUCUCUUACUGCCAAUGCUUAUUAUUUAGGGGCAUGUGAUCCUUGAGAGCUGAACCCACCUGAAGUUCUGACUGAUGAGACUUGCUAUUUGAAAUAAAAUUUCUCGGGAUCGUAACUGAUAUUGUUUUUCUUUGUUUUUGUGAGGUGAUUGGGAUUAAGUGACUUGCCCAGGGUCACACAACCAGCAAGUGUCUGAGACCGGAUUUGAAUUCGGGUCCUCCUGACUCCAGGGCCGGUGCUCUAUCCACUAUGCCAACUAGCUGUCUCACUGAUAUUGUUUUGAGUUUUGAAAUCAGGAAAUUUCUAUAUUCAGAGCCAAGUGGUCAGUACAAAGCAUGGGUACAAGCAAGUAUGUAAGAUCUUGCUAUUUUCAAUCUGAAAAUAUGUGGUCAUUAUAUGCUAAACAGUCGGGUAAAUGACCUAGUCAUCUACCUGUUAAUAGAUUUAUAUUUGUAUGAAAUAAGGU